rnacentral:rRNA from 1 species
AGUGAACGCUGGCGGUAGGCCUAACACAUGCAAGUCGAACGGCAGCACAGUAAGAGCUUGCUCUUACGGGUGGCGAGUGGCGGACGGGUGAGGAAUACAUCGGAAUCUACUUUUUCGUGGGGGAUAACGUAGGGAAACUUACGCUAAUACCGCAUACGACCUACGGGUGAAAGCAGGGGAUCUUCGGACCUUGCGCGAUUGAAUGAGCCGAUGCCGGAUUAGCUAGUUGGCGGGGUAAAGGCCCACCAAGGCGACGAUCCGUAGCUGGUCUGAGAGGAUGAUCAGCCACACUGGAACUGAGACACGGUCCAGACUCCUACGGGAGGCAGCAGUGGGGAAUAUUGGACAAUGGGCGAAAGCCUGAUCCAGCCAUACCGCGUGGGUGAAGAAGGCCUUCGGGUUGUAAAGCCCUUUUGUUGGGAAAGAAAAGCAGCAGGUUAAUACCCCGCUGUUCUGACGGUACCCAAAGAAUAAGCACCGGCUAACUUCGUG